GAAGGCAACUGACGAACACCCUUACCCCGAGAAAUGGCUCGACUACGAUGUUCCUUUAAAGAGGUCACGCCGGGGGAUAAAAAGGUUGUCAGAUUCGGAUGUAUCGAUGACCGCCAGUGAUGCAGUGGACAACUGUGAGGGUGAUCAGAUCCACAUGCCCCUGAUCUUGCUGAAAGUCACCAGAAGUUACCUGCUGUAAUAGAUAUUUUUAUGAACCUUUACAAUGUCACCAGAAGUUACCUGCUGUAAUAAGUUACUUUUAUGAACCUUUACAGUGUCACCUGACAUUACCUGCUGUAAAUAGUUUUUAUUUAUUUAUCUUAAUUUGAUCUUUUUUUAUCUUUAAUCUGUGAUUUGAAGGAAUAAGUCAUGUCAAGUUUGCAAGUUAAUUCCAUCUUGGUUUAUUACAUAUGGAAAUUAAAUGUUGAAAUUUUAUAGGAUGGUCAGUAGGAGGUGUCUCUUGCUACCUGAAAACAACAAACACUGAUCAACAAAUCACAAAUGAUUUUAUACAACUUAUAUUAAAUUAUCCAUGUUCUAAAAAACAAAUCACAGUCUGUCUCUUGUUUAACACAACUGAUUUAAAACAACUUAUUUCAUAUAGUUAGUCUUCACCCACAUCCUCUACAUCCCAUCCCAAUUACCUAAUAUCCUAUCCUUAACCUAAUUAUUCUCAUUCCUGCUUAUUUACAAAGCUGCAAAUAUCUUGUGGAAAGCAGCAGGUCGCCUGCCUGAAACUCAUCUGACACGAGGAAGCAUACACUUAAAAUAAAAGGUUUGUAGUCUAGCUACA